rnacentral:rRNA from 1 species
GACGAACCGUGCGAACGUUGUUCGGAAUCACUGGGCUUAAAGGGCGCGUAGGCGGCUUUUCAAGUCAGGGGUGAAAUCCGGCAGCUCAACUGUCGAAGUGCCCUUGAUACUGAUGAGCUCGAGGGAGGUAGGGGUGUGUGGAACUUCCGGUGGAGCGGUGAAAUGCGUUGAUAUCGGAAGGAACGCCGGUGGCGAAAGCGACGCACUGGACCUCUUCUGACGCUGAGGCGCGAAAGCCAGGGGAGCAAACGGG